rnacentral:rRNA from 1 species
UGACGAAGCGACGCCGCGUGCGGGAAGAAGGCCUUCGGGUUGUAAACCGCUGUCGGGAGUUAGGAAAUGCAAGGGCGUUAAUAGCGUUCUUGUUUGACUAAGGCUCCGGAGGAAGCCACGGCUAACUCUGUGCCAGCAGCCGCGGUAAUACAGAGGCGGCAAGCGUUGUUCGGAAUUAUUGGGCGUAAAGAGCACGUAGGCGGCUGUGUAAGUCGGUUGUGAAAGCCUUCCGCUUAACGGAAGAACAGCGACCGAUACUGCAUAGCUAGAGUGCGGGAGGGGAGAGUGGAACUUCUGGUGGAGCGGUGAAAUGCGUAGAUAUCAGAAGGAACACCGGCGGCGAAGGCGACUCUCUGGUCCGUAACUGACGCUGAGUGUGCGAAAGCCAGGGGAGCAAACGGGAUUAGAUACCCCGGUAGUCCUAGCCGUAAACGAU